UCUGGGUUCUGUUAGUAUUGUUGUUCUGCUUCUAGUUCACUCGUGAUCUGGUCUAGUCUACUUAGUGUUUCCUUGUUGUCUAGUCCCUGUUGCUGGGUUUGAUGUGGUUUCCUGUUUUAUUUUUAUUUUCUCAUGUGCUUUUUAUUUACUUUUACUUUCUUGCCUUAUUGUUGUGAUUCUUUUCAGCUGUGUCUUGCCAGCCUUAUCUGUCAACUUUCAUGAGGAUUUCAUGUGGGAGUUUUUAAACCAUCUUUCUUUCCAUCUAGUUGUUGUCACAAUGUCUGUAAAUCCUCUUUGUGUGUUUCUUAUUGUUUAUUCAUUCAAAUCACAUCAAACAUUUUGAAAAUGUCCUAGGCCCCUUGAAAGCUCAAGAUUGGAUGUGGAAAUAUUCUAUACUCCUGAUCAACUGCUGUGCUCCUUCACUGAACUCUAGAGUAAAGUGUUACCAGCGAGAAAUGUACCCAAAACAAAGACAGGAAAUUAUCCCCAUAAACACGAUUCGUGUAGAGACAGAUGUUGGAAUAGCAGCUGCUACUCAUGAUCAACAAAAGCAAACAAUGUGUCUGGAUUCAGAAAUUGUUUGUUCCUAACGGCUACAGUAUGAACACCAGAAAAUCACAAUAGGUUUUGGCAAAAGAACAAGGCAGGUCCGUGUGUCCAUCGCAUGGACACACAUUCUUUAGUUCUCAGAUGACAGUUUUUGUUUAGAGAAGGUGGUUUAAUUCUAAUUCGACAGACUUAGAAGGAAAAGGUUACACAAUCAGCUUUUCUGUUCUCUUUUCUCAGGCAAAUAACUAUUUUCAUCCUCGACAUGUAUUUACUAAACUUGAAAAAUUAAAAACUGAGCAAAUCAGAUCGAAUUUUGCAACUCAGCGGGAAGUACAGCUGCUGCUUUUCAAGGUUUGUUUACUUAUCUAGUGUGUAUUUUUUGUAUUUUUUCUUUUGUUUUUUCCUUCACUUCCCUUUCUUUUCUCUUUUUCUCUUUGUGUUUGUCCUUGCAGAGAAGUCAAGUGGCUCUCUGUGUCUCUCUGCCAAAGCACAGGUGACACGCCGGACACCUGGAGGAGAAGGCUAAUGAGGUGCCCUGCCACUCCAAAUCUUGGCUUCUCAUCUGGACUUUUAGCAGGGGACUGCAGAGGGGAAAAACGAUCACUGCAGCUGUGACCAACUACUGACAUCUAAGCACGCAUCAGUGUGUGGAAGCUCUUCAGGAAAUCAUUACAGUUGAACUCUAACUCGUGAUAGUGUUAUGAUAUGUUGUCUGCAUCAAUACAUCAGUGUCUGUUUAGCUGAAGUGAAAAAAUAAACUACCGAAAAAGUCA
ensembl:lncRNA